AAAUUUAUUUUAUAGUUUUGAAAACUAUUUUGCUGUGGCUAUAAAUUUA
rnacentral:tRNA from 3 species